AAAGGAGCUAAAGAAGCGUUUGAUACAAGCGAAGGAUGGUCAGGCUUGCCCGAAUGCUGGUGGUUAAAUUUUGAUAUCUCUGAAAGAUCACAGAAAUGAUGAUCUAACAAAUCUAUAUGAUCUUCCGUAUAGUCACUGUUUUCAUAAUUGAGAUGAACUUCUGGAGCAUUGGUUUGGAUUUCUGAAGCAAAAUUAUCUUCAGGCUCCACCGUCGAAUAGCCCGGUGCCGAACCCUGCAUUAAGUUAACAUCAUGAUUAAACUG